GAUGAACGCUCGCUACAGGCUUAACACAUGCAAGUCGCAGGGUAACAUGAGGAAAGCUUGCUUUCCUUGAUGCCGACUGGCGCACGGGUGAGUAACGCGUAUCCAACCUUCCCAUAACUACGGGAUAACCCGUUGAAAGACGGCCUAAUACCGUAUGAUAUCGUUUGCUGACAUCAAAUAACGAUUAAAGGUUUAGCGGUUAUGGAUGGGGAUGCGUCUGAUUAGCUUGUUGGCGGGGUAACGGCCCACCAAGGCGACGAUCAGUAGGGGUUCUGAGAGGAAGGUCCCCCACAUUGGAACUGAGACACGGUCCAAACUCCUACGGGAGGCAGCAGUGAGGAAUAUUGGUCAAUGGGCGAGAGCCUGAACCAGCCAAGUAGCGUGCAGGAUGACGGCCCUAUGGGUUGUAAACUGCUUUUAUGUGGGGAUAAAGUGCGUGACGUGUCAUGCAUUGCAGGUACCACAUGAAUAAGGACCGGCUAAUUCCGUG
rnacentral:rRNA from 1 species